GCUCUGGUGGCUCAAUCGGAUAGAGCGUUGGACUUCUAAUCCAAAGGUUGCGAGUUCAAGUCCCGCCCAGAGUA
rfam:Perkinsus marinus ATCC 50983 gcontig_1104296521570, whole genome shotgun sequence.